UACGGAGGGUGCAAGCGUUAUCCGGAAUCACUGGGCGUAAAGGGUGCGUAGGCGGCCUGACAAGUCAGAGGUGAAAGGCUACGGCUUAACCGUAGUAAGCCUUUGAAACUGUUGGGCUUGAGUGCAGGAGAGGGAAACGGAAUUCCCGGUGUAGAGGUGAAAUUCGUAGAUAUCGGGAGGAACACCAGUGGCGAAGGCGGCUUGCUGGACAAAUACUGACGCUGAGGCACGAAAGCGUGGGGAGCAAACAGG
rnacentral:rRNA from 1 species